UGGGGAAUCUUCCGCAAUGGGCGAAAGUCUGACGGAGCAACGCCGCGUGAGUGAAGAAGGUUUUCGGAUCGUAAAACUCUGUCUUUUGGGGCGAACGUGAGUAUGGUGAACAAUCAUAGUCAGUGACGGUACCAAAGGAGGAAGCCACGGCUAACUACGUGCCAGCAGCCGCGGUAAUACGUAGGUGGCAAGCGUUGUCCGGAAUUAUUGGGCGUAAAGAGCGCGUAGGCGGGAUAGUCAGUCUGUUGUAAAGUGCGGGGCUCAACCCCGUGAUCGCAAUGGAAACAGCUAUUCUUGAGGUGCAGGAGAGGAAAGUGGAAUUCCCAGUGUAGCGGUGAAAUGCGUAGAUAUUGGGAGGAACACCAGUGGCGAAGGCGACUUUCUGGACUGUGUCUGACGCUGAGGCGCGAAAGCCAGGGGAGCGAACGGGAUUAGAUACCCCCGGUAGUCCCUGGGCCGUAAACGAUGGGUACUAGGUGUGGGAGGUAUCGACCCCCUUUCCGUGCCGGAGUUAACGCAAUAAGUACCCCCGCCUGGGGAGUACGGUCGCAAGACUGAAACUCAAAUGAAUUGACGGGGUCAUAGCUGUUUCCU
rnacentral:rRNA from 1 species